UACGUAGGGCGCAAGCGUUAUCCGGAAUUAUUGGGCGUAAAGAGCUCGUAGGCGGUCUGUCGCGUCGGCUGUGAAAACCCGAGGCUCAACCUCGGGCCUGCAGUCGAUACGGGCAAACUAGAGUACUGCAGGGGAGACUGGAAUUCCUGGUGUAGCGGUGAAAUGCGUAGAUAUCAGGAGGAACACCGGUGGCGAAGACGGGUCUCUGGGCAGUAACUGACGCUGAGGAGCGAAAGCGUGGGGAGCGAACAGG
rnacentral:rRNA from 1 species